CCUACGGGUGGCAGCAGUGAGGAAUAUUGGUCAAUGGGCGCGAGCCUGAACCAGCCAAGUAGCGUGAAGGAUGACUGCCCUACGGGUUGUAAACUUCUUUUAUAAGGGAAUAAAGUGCAGUACGUAUGCUGUUUUGUAUGUACUUUAUGAAUAAGGAUCGGCUAACUCCGUGCCAGCAGCCGCGGUAAUACGGAGGAUCCGAGCGUUAUCCGGAUUUAUUGGGUUUAAAGGGAGCGUAGAUGGGUUGUUAAGUCAGUUGUGAAAGUUUGCGGCUCAACCGUAAAAUUGCAAUUGAUACUGGGUGUCUUGAGUACAGUUGAGGUAGGCGGAAUUCGUGGUGUAGCGGUGAAAUGCUUAGAUAUCACGAAGAACUCCGAUUGCGAAGGCAGCUUACUAAACUGCCACUGACAUUGAUGCUCGAAAGUGUGGGUAUCAAACAGGAUUAGAUACCCGGGUAGUC
rnacentral:rRNA from 1 species